rnacentral:rRNA from 1 species
UACGUAGGGGCCUAGCGUUGUCCGGAAUUAUUGGGCGUAAAGAGCUCGUAGGCGGUUCGGCAAGUCGGAUGUGAAAUCUCCACGCUUAACGUGGAGGGGCCAUUCGAAACUGCUGUGACUCGAGUCCGGUAGGGGAGUGUGGAAUUCCCGGUGUAGCGGUGAAAUGACGCAGAUAUCGGGAGGAACGACCAGUAGCCGAAGGCGGACACUCUGGGCCGG